GACGAACGCUGGCGGCGUGCUUAACACAUGCAAGUCGAACGGAAAGGCCCUGCUUUUGUGGGGUGCUCGAGUGGCGAACGGGUGGGUAACACGUGAGUAACCUGCCCUUGACUUUGGGAUAACUUCAGGAAACUGGGGCUAAUACCGGAUAGGAGCUCCUGCUGCAUGGUGGGGGUUGGAAAGUUUCGGCGGUUGGGGAUGGACUCGCGGCUUAUCAGCUUGUUGGUGGGGUAGUGGCUUACCAAGGCUUUGACGGGUAGCCGGCCUGAGAGGGUGACCGGCCACAUUGGGACUGAGAUACGGCCCAGACUCCUACGGGAGGCAGCAGUGGGGAAUAUUGCACAAUGGGCGGAAGCCUGAUGCAGCAACGCCGCGUGCGGGAUGACGGCCUUCGGGUUGUAAACCGCUUUCGCCUGUGACGAAGCGUGAGUGACGGUAAUGGGUAAAGAAGCACCGGCUAACUACGUGCCAGCAGCCGCGGUGAUACGUAGGGUGCGAGCGUUGUCCGGAUUUAUUGGGCGUAAAGGGCUCGUAGGUGGUUGAUCGCGUCGGAAGUGUAAUCUUGGGGCUUAACCCUGAGCGUGCUUUCGAUACGGGUUGACUUGAGGAAGGUAGGGGAGAAUGGAAUUCCUGGUGGAGCGGUGGAAUGCGCAGAUAUCAGGAGGAACACCAGUGGCGAAGGCGGUUCUCUGGGCCUUUCCUGACGCUGAGGAGCGAAAGCGUGGGGAGCGAACAGGCUUAGAUACCCUGGUAGUCCACGCUGUAAACGGUGGGUACUAGGUGUGGGGUCCAUUCCACGGGUUCCGUGCCGUAGCUAACGCUUUAAGUACCCCGCCUGGGGAGUACGGCCGCAAGGCUAAAACUCAAAGGAAUUGACGGGGCCCCGCACAAGCGGCGGAGCAUGCGGAUUAAUUCGAUGCAACGCGUAGAACCUUACCUGGGUUUGACAUGGAUCGGGAGUGCUCAGAGAUGGGUGUGCCUCUUUUGGGGUCGGUUCACAGGUGGUGCAUGCCUGUCGUCAGCUCGUGUCGUGAGAUGUUGGGUUAAGUCCCGCAACGAGCGCAACCCUUGUUCACUGUUGCCAGCACGUUAUGGUGGGGACUCAGUGGAGACCGCCGGGGUCAACUCGGAGGAAGGUGGGGAUGACGUCAAGUCAUCAUGCCCCUUAUGUCCAGGGCUUCACGCAUGCUACAAUGGCUGGUACAGAGAGUGGCGAGCCUGUGAGGGUGAGCGAAUCUCGGAAAGCCGGUCUCAGUUCGGAUUGGGGUCUGCAACUCGACCUCAUGAAGUCGGAGUCGCUAGUAAUCGCAGAUCAGCAACGCUGCGGUGAAUACGUUCCCGGG
rnacentral:rRNA from 1 species